rnacentral:rRNA from 1 species
AUACGGAGGGUGCAAGCGUUACUCGGAAUCACUGGGCGUAAAGGAUGCGUAGGCUGGAAAUCAAGUCGAGAGUGAAAUCCAACGGCUCAACCGUUGAACUGCUCUCGAAACUGGUUACCUAGAAUAUGGGAGAGGUAGAUGGAAUUGGUGGUGUAGGGGUAAAAUCCGUAGAUAUCACCAGGAAUACCGAUUGCGAAGGCGAUCUACUGGAACAUUAUUGACGCUGAGGCAUGAAAGCGUGGGGAGCAAACAUGAUUAGAUACCCUGGUAGUCCACGCCCUAAACGAUGCACACUAGUUGUUGCGAUGCUAGUCAUUGCAGUAAUGCACUUAACAGAUUAAGUGUGCCGCCUGGGGAGUACGGUCGCAAGAUUAAAACUCAAAGGAAUUGACGGGG